UCCAACACUUACAACAAACUGGCAGCAGGAGAGGCAGUGGAGUCUGUCUUCUGUCCUUCAUUUUCCUGCCUUCAUUUAGAACUCCAACGGCUCUUCCUUUUUUGAGAUUUCUUAUUUGCCAGUUGACAGGCCGGAGGCUAACUGAGAAGUCAGCAGAGAGGUCAUUGCUCUGUCGAGUCUCCCAGCUGUGGUUGCAUGAGGUGGGGAGCUCUGAAAUGGUAAUGAUCCCAAGCUUGCCAAAUAAGAAUGGGAAGAGUCUCCUGGCCUAAGAUUUCAUGGAAAAGAAAACGGAAGCAGGCCCAGGUGCAGGGCAGAAAAGGGAGCCAGCAGACCCUGGGCCAUAGAGCUAAGGAAGCAGAGAGAACGCUCAGGGGAGUGAGGUCAGCUCCGGGACAGGACAUUUCCUUGCAAGCUGAGGAGCACCCUCCAGUCUCUGCUGCUGUACUCGGAGUGAAUGCAGUGGCACAGUGGUGAUAGUUGCCAUAGAGAGGGACAAAUAGACUAUUGUUUAGUGCAAGGACUUGAUUUCUGCCAGAAAGUUUCACACUCAAAAUAAAUAUUAUAUAUGGCUCCCAUCAGAAGUAUCUAAUCUAGAAAGAAGAAAAAUGUCUAUUUUCUGAGGUGUUUUAAUAAAGUGCUUUAAUUCUAGAUGUCCAUAA